rnacentral:misc_RNA from 1 species
AAAUCAUAUAAAUAAAUAAAUAAAUACGAAGAAGAAGAAGAAGAAUACAAAAUAAUCAAAACAAAGCACACACGCAUGCAUUUUCCUUAUAUGGGUCAUGUUUGGUUGAAAAUAAAAUAAUGUGAAUGUAAUGUGGUCUCCAUUUCCACUAAAAACCAGAGUUCAAUACAGCAAAUUAAGUUGCAACCUCCACUACCACACUCCAUUUGUGACGACAAGAUUCAACAAUCUUCAGUUGGAACCGCGCCAACUUCACGUGAUCCUUUUUUUCCUCUCCCGGCAACCCCACGGGAGCAGCUACUUCCUAUUGCUGUCGCCUUCAUUCCAACAAGAGGAUUUGUUUGUCCACCAUGCAUUUGCUUCACACACAGAUUCAACUUAUGCAACUAUUCUUUGUCUUAAUUAAAUACUACAUGAUGCAUGCUACAUAUAAAAACAUAGUCCCACUUUGAUUGGGUAAAAUAAAAAAGUAUUAAGGGAAAAUAUAAUUUAAUAUUAUAUACUUUAAUACAUUUUUAACUUUAGAAUUAAAAAAAUUGUGACAAAUUGAAUAUUGAAUUAUCGCGCUUGUUAACAAAUCGAAGAAAAAGAAUUAAUACCAUUAAGUGUACUUAGGUAAAGUUAAUGUAUUAUGCUGACAUUAAUAUUAUGUUUGAUGUGACAUGCAUGCUGAUAUUAAUGCUGCAUCAUUAGAGCACGUUAACAUCAACAUGUAUGUCAUAUCAGACAUGGUGUUGAUAUCAGCAUGCCACAUCAAUGCUAUGUAAUCAUAGUUAAUGGUAUUAGCCAUUGAAUCUUUAAAGUGUUAAUAGUGCGAUAGUUAAAUUUUUAAUUUGGUACGAAAUUAUAGUUCAAUUUUUAAUUUGUCAUGAAAUUUUUUUUAAUCAUUAAAUUAAAAAAAUACAAAAAUAUAUAAUAUUAAAUUAUACUUUUUCCAAAAUAUUAAACAUAAGGACUUAGCAAAAU